GUGGUCAGUAGUUGACUCAAAAAGAGAGAAAGACAAUCGUUGAACCGUUUUGAAUAAAUAAAUAAAAAAUUAAAUUAAGGAGAAAUAAACGAGAGAAAGAGAGAGAGAUAGCUAUAUUUUGUUGUAUUUUUUCUUUUAACUUUCACUUAGCUAGCGAAUGCAGUUAGCUAGUUUGGCCUACUCAAAUACUUGGCUCAAACAGAAAGGGAUGCUAUGUUAGCUAGCUCGCUAUGGCUGUUCAACACUGAAACUCUUUCAAGUCAAGACUGGAAUGUCCAUUGUGCAACGUGUUCUGCAUUGGAUGGACAAAGAGACAUCUCCAGGAUCGCAUGGCUGAACAUAACUACCCCAUACAUGUAUCAGUGGAGGCUCCUCAGAGGAGGAAGGGGAGGACCAUCCUCCUCAGUGAAUUUCAUAAAAAAUGAAAAUUGUAAAACAUUUAUAAAGUUAGAUAAAUCUAUACUAAAUAUAAUCACGUCACCAG
rnacentral:lncRNA from 1 species